UACGUAGGGGGCAAGCGUUGUCCGGAUUUAUUGGGCGUAAAGAGCGUGUAGGCGGCUUUACAGGUCCGUUGUGAAAACUCGAGGCUCAACCUCGAGACGCCGGUGGAAACCGUAAAGCUAGAGUCCGGAAGAGGAGAGUGGAAUUCCUGGUGUAGCGGUGAAAUGCGCAGAUAUCAGGAGGAACACCCGUGGCGAAAGCGGCGCGCUGGACCACUACUGACGCUGAGGAACGAAAGCUAGGGGAGCAAACAGG
rnacentral:rRNA from 1 species